rnacentral:rRNA from 1 species
UAGGGAAUCUUCCGCAAUGGACGAAAGUCUGACGGAGCAACGCCGCGUGAGUGAAGAAGGAUUUCGGUUCGUAAAACUCUGUUGUUAGGGAAGAAAAAAUGUAUAGUAACUAUAUACAAAAGAGACGGUACCUAACCAGAAAGCCACGGCUAACUACGUGCCAGCAGCCGCGGUAAUACGUAGGUGGCAAGCGUUGUCCGGAAUUAUUGGGUGUAAAGCGCGCGCAGGUGGUUUAGAAAGUCUGAUGUGAAAGCCCACGGCUCAACCGUGGAGGGUCAUUGGAAACUAAUAAACUUAAGUGCAGGAGAGAAAAGUGGAAUUCCUAGUGUAGCGGUGAAAUGCGUAGAGAUUAGGAGGAACACCGGUGGCGAAAGCGGCUUUUUGGCCUGCAACUGACACUGAGGCGCGAAAGCGUGGGGAGCAAACAGG